rnacentral:lncRNA from 1 species
UUUUUUUUUAAGUUUUCCCUAACAUAUGGGGAAGGGAGAAACAGCUCCCCCGGGGCCACCUAGAGAGUCCAGUUUUCUUUUUAUUACUCUAUGCAAAGAUUCUCAGACAAUCUUGGUUGUAAAGCGUGUAUCUUUAUAUUCUUUUUCCUUUCAUUUUGUAUAACCACAGGGAGAACAACCUGGGAAGUAAAUGUUCUUUUGCCAUGCUUUAUCCAGAGUGCUUGGUUUGUACGAGAAAUCCAGCAUCCCCCAGGACUGGGCAACUGCCAGAAUCUCUGUUCUGCAGCACAGCAUUUGGACAAAGACUCAAAAAUGUACCAAUUGCUAAGGUUUCCUCUCUGCAUUGGACCUUCCUGA